rnacentral:rRNA from 1 species
GUUGGUGACCAGCGGA